CAGUUUUUAAACAGCAUUUAUUUAGCUUUCUCCAUACAAUACAUUUAAUGUACAACAGCACAUACUGUAUUCUCAAAUAACUCUCAGUAUAAAAUAGGGCUUCUACAAUCAAGGUACAGUCAUAAAAUGCUCUGAGGGACAUGACGACAGCAACAGUAAAACACCUUCAUAUAAAGCGCAGGAUAUUGAGAGAAGUGAUUGUAUUUGCCAAGCUGCUGCUGUAGGAAGCAGAACUUCAGACCCCACCUCUCAGAGCAUCUGACAUCCUGCAAGAACCCGUUUUAUGUUUCUCUUGGUUCUGGUUUGUCAACUGAAGCGGCUCCAAAUGAUGAUCAAAUCAUAAGAACAUGAUCUAUUACUGCUGAAAAUACAACUUUUGUUAACAUGGGAGGAUAAAAUCAGGCCUUGUUUGGCUAUUAUAUACACAUAGGUGAUAAUACACCAAAGUCAAAGUGCACUCAGCAUUAUGACUGAUGAUCAAGCGUAUCUUAACAAUCAUUUAUUGAACUGUUUGUGACUGGAGCUGUAAAAACAGGAUUGUUUCUGAGUGUUUCCUGACACAAAACACUGAAUUACAGCAAAAGUAUACCAUACUAUCACUGAAGCCACAAGAAAGCGAUCUUAUUUCAACAUUAUAAGUAAACAUCAGCCAAUUAUAGAAUGUCUUUAAAAGGAAUUUUAUCUGCAGAUGUGCAUCGGAGUGCGCGCGGGCCUAUAUAGCGUCGAUAAAUGUGUCUUUAAAUAGAAUACACGUAACACUGACCAGCUUUUGUGUUAGUUUGCUAUUACGUAGUGCUUCUGGUGGAGGAUAUACAUUACAUAUCAUAUCCAAUUAGUAUGAGAGAAGGCCUAGAUACAAGGAAACGUAAAAAUAGAGAGAAAGGAGAGAUUUGUCUCAAGUCUUGAGGUAAGCAGUGUGUUUCGAUAUAAUGCCCUACAGACAAUCAUACAGUUACAAUCAUUAAUUCUCUAUAUACAAACUUCCUGAUUUACAUACACUGUACUGCUCCUCAGUUUGUAAUUGAAUAAAACUAAAUAUGAGACUAUGGUGCAAACUUUUUCAAGCGAGGAGGGGAGUCUGACUUCACAAAGCCCGUUUUCAUGAUGUGGGUGAUAAUGAACGUUACAAUAUGGCUAUUGAAGAUGGCCUGCUUCCUCUUGCAUACGUCACACAUACUAUCAAAUAUCUACAACAGUGCAAAUUUUCCUGAUCGAUCAAAACACUUGCAAACAAUUGGAAAAACUACAUCAGCUCACUUUUGAAGUUGUACGGUGGACGAGAAGAAUGCAAGUUGGCGAUGGACAAUUGUCUGAAUAGAUGCCGACAUCGAAAACUCACAUGCCUGUGCAUUUAACAGUAUAUAUUAAUUAAUUUGGCAUGUUUUAGGGGUAACAUUAACUCUGCGUACUGUGUCACACAAAUGAAUAAAGUCUACCGUGGCACGAUGGCUCGAAUGAAAGACAAAAGUAAGAGGACAAACCUGCACUCUGCCCCGCAUAGCUCUGCUUGGAUGUAGG
ensembl:lncRNA